UACGUAGGGUGCGAGCGUUGUCCGGAAUCACUGGGCGUAAAGCGCACGUAGGCGGGUCUUUAAGUCAGGGGUGAAAUCCCGGAGCUCAACUCCGGAACUGCCUUUGAUACUGGAGAUCUUGAGUCCGGGAGAGGUGAGUGGAACUCCGAGUGUAGAGGUGAAAUUCGUAGAUAUUCGGAAGAACACCAGUGGCGAAGGCGGCUCACUGGCCCGGUACUGAUGCUGAGGUGCGAAAGCGUGGGGAGCAAACAGG
rnacentral:rRNA from 1 species